rfam:Sorghum bicolor cultivar BTx623 chromosome 6, whole genome shotgun sequence.
AUUCCAUGGUGAGGACAAUCUGAUAUGUAAUCUUGAAAACGCUCCCAUGCUUCUGGAAUGGUUUCUGUCUUCUGCUGUUGGAAAACUGACAAUAUUUCCUCUUAAGGCA